rnacentral:piRNA from 1 species
GGCGCGUAAGAGAUGCUUGAGCGGUU